UACGUAGGGACCAAGCGUUGUUCGGAUUUACUGGGCGUAAAGGGCGCGUAGGCGGCGCGGUAAGUCACUUGUGAAAUCUCUGAGCUUAACUCAGAACGGCCAAGUGAUACUGCAGUGCUAGAGUGUGGAAGGGGCAGUCGGAAUUCUUGGUGUAGCGGUGAAAUGCGUAGAUAUCAAGAGGAACACCUGAGGUGAAGACGGGUUGCUGGGCCAACACUGACGCUGAGGCGCGAAAGCCAGGGGAGCAAACAGG
rnacentral:rRNA from 1 species